UGCGUAGGUGGUCGGGUCAGUCUGAUGUGAAAUCUCCGAGCCUAACUCGGAAACUGCAUUGGAUACUACUUGGCUGGAGGGUUGGGAGGGGGGACUGGAAUUCUCGGUGUAGCAGUGAAAUGCGUAGAUAUCGAGAGGAACACCAGUGGCGAAGGCGAGUCCCUGGACAACUCCUGACACUGAGGCACGAAAGCUAGGGGAGCAAACA
rnacentral:rRNA from 1 species